CCUACGGGCGGCAGCAGUGGGGGAUAUUGCACAAUGGGGGAAACCCUGAUGCAGCGACGCCGCGUGUGGGAAGACGGUCCUCUGGAUUGUAAACCACUGUCCCCAGGGACGAAGAUGACGGUACCUGGGGAGGAAGCUCCGGCUAACUACGUGCCAGCAGCCGCGGUAAUACGUAGGGAGCGAGCGUUGUCCGGAAUUACUGGGUGUAAAGGGAGCGUAGGCGGGGAUGCAAGUUGGGUGUCAAAACUACCGGCUCAACUGGUAGUCGCACUCAAAACUGCAGCUCUUGAGUGGGCGAGAAGUAUGCGGAAGGCGUGGUGUAGCGGUGAAAUGCAUAGAUAUCACGCAGAACUCUGAUUGCGAAGGCAGCAUACCGGCGCCCGACUGACGCUGAGGCACGAAAGCGUGGGGAUCGAACAGGAUUAGAUACCCCUGUAGUC
rnacentral:rRNA from 1 species